GGCCGCAAGGUUAAAACUCAAAUGAAUUGACGGGGGCCCGCACAAGCGGUGGAGCAUGUGGUUUAAUUCGAUGCAACGCGAAGAACCUUACCUGGUCUUGACAUCCACAGAACUUUCCAGAGAUGGACUGGUGCCUUCGGGAACUGUGAGACAGGUGCUGCAUGGCUGUCGUCAGCUCGUGUUGUGAAAUGUUGGGUUAAGUCCCGCAACGAGCGCAACCCUUAUCCUUUGUUGCCAGCGAUUAGGUCGGGAACUCAAAGGAGACUGCCAGU
rnacentral:rRNA from 2 species